UCCAAGCCAUGGGAUCUACGACGUACAGUCCGAACAGAUCUAUGACCUAGAAUGGUAGCAGAUUCUCAGAGGUAGGAUCUGUGCCGUAGCAUCCUGGCAGAGUCUAAGACACAGGAUCUGUGACAGGAUCUCAGCAGAUUCUCUGACAGAUUCAAAGGCGUAGUAGAUUCUGUGACAUAGACUUAGCAGAGCCACCGUUCAUCCCGUGCUGGGCUGAGCCUGCAAGGAAGGAGCUCUGACAUCAGCCCCAGCCCCGGCAACACAUUUGUUGGGGUGAACACGUUUGUGGAGGUUUUUUUCCAGAAGCACCAAAUGGAAAGGAAGAUAAGCAGCAUGGCAUUCAAGAGACUGGUGGAAGAAGUACCAUCCAGCUUGUUGCUUAGCUGGCUCUAAAGUGGGGAAACUUUAUUUUCCAGUGAAAAAAGGCCAGAGGUACUGGCUGAGCAGUGUGAUCGAGUCCUUGACAUCUAAUGGAUUUCUUUGAUUUGCCAACAUUAUCGUCUUUGUAGUUUUCUGAACUGAUGAAGUUCUUCAUGAAAGAUUCAAUGUGAAGUUAGUUCCUUGCCUAUAGAAAGGACUCGCUAGUGGCAGAUAAAACUUUACGCUUCUCCCCUAGAAGACAAACAGAUACAUUUUUCAAAAACGACCAGGUGAUUCAGGAGCCUAAAACUGGCUUUCAGUGAGACAUAGGUUCUGAAGUGAAGUCACUUUCUCAAAGAGUGUGAGGCUCCUAGAUCAGUUAGGAAUUUUAAUACUUGGUCCUGAUCCUCAGUUUGAAGCAUACAACCACAGCUAGCUGAAGAACAUUCCUCCACACCAGUCCCACUCAGUGAAAUACCAGCUGACUACAGCUGAUCAAACUAUCACAACCUGGUUUUCACCAAAAUGGUGAAGUACCUGUGAAAAGUGAAGGGUUUGGUCUUUUUUGGUUAUACAACACUGUAAAUAGUAACAAGGACAUGGAAAGUGCUUUCUGAGACUGUCAGAAGUAGGGCUGGCUGACAAACAAGAAUUAUGUUUCACCAAAAAGUUUGUUUCAAAUGUAUUUUGUUCCAUUUUGGAACAGAAAUAUACUGAUGCUUGCUUGUUUGUUGGCUAGCUGGUUUGGUGAGGGGAGGGGUGGGAAGGGAACACAGGAGCAAAACCACCCUUUCCAAAAUAGGCAAGAGCCCAGUGAUUAAGGCACUCACCUGCAAUGUCUGUGACUCAGACCUACCCCUUCCUGUGCUGGAUUUGGAGCAGAGAUUUCAAUUGGGUUUCUUAGUUUCAGUGCUUUAGCAUCUAGGUUGUGGCUUCAGUCUCUUGCUCCAGCCCAAUGAAAUACUUCAUUAUUCAUUCAGAAUGGAAAAGUUCCCGCAGAAGAGAGACUGCUCCUAUAGCCCUAAGCCCAGACCAGAGAUGUCCAGAUCAGUACGCUGAGGUUUUAAAUGUUCCAUUGUCUCUUUUUUUAGAACAGAACGUUUUAAUCUGCCAUUUGGAAGCAACUGCUGUUUUAUUUUUUAAAUUGUGCUAGUGUAAUAUAAAUACAGAAGCUGAAAUAGCAAUGAAGAAGUCUGUUUUUGCCAAAAAUGAAAUGCUUCAGUUUAAAAGUAAUUAAAAAAAAAACAAAACAUUGCUUCAUGGGAAAUUUAAGCAUUUCUGUUUUCGUUCCCAAACGGAAGGCAUUUUGAAAUUGCAAAACUGCUCUUGACGCAAAAAUAUGGUCUUCAACUCUAGUUACGUAUCAACCUGAGUAACUCUGACAACCCUGGUAUAUUUAAAGUGCAGCAAAGGAUCAGUGAUGAUAAUAUUUUGUGCUCCAGAACAUUACUUGGUAUUCUAUGCUGCUAGUUGUCUUUUGAAUGACUGGGAACAGUAUAGCCAGUUGUCUAUACAUCAGUAUCACAUGCAUAUAGAUGUAACAUAAUGUUAAUCCACUAUUCUGCUUUGCUGUGUUUGGUGUGUUGUUUAACAAAAUUUUCAAUAAAAUGAAAAUUAAGAU